CAGCAGCCGCGGUAAUACGUAGGGUGCGAGCGUUAAUCGGAAUUACUGGGCGUAAAGCGUGCGCAGGCGGUUGUGUAAGACAGGUGUGAAAUCCCCGGGCUUAACCUGGGAACUGCGCUUGUGACUGCACAGCUAGAGUAUGGCAGAGGGGGGCGGAAUUCCACGUGUAGCAGUGAAAUGCGUAGAGAUGUGGAGGAACACCGGUGGCGAAGGCAGCCCGCUGGGCCAAUACUGACGCUCAUGCACGAAAGCGUGGGGAGCAAACAGGAUUAGAGACCCCUGUAGUCCCUGUCUCUUAUAC
rnacentral:rRNA from 1 species